rnacentral:rRNA from 1 species
AGAGUUUGAUCCUGGCUCAGGAUUAACGCUGGCGGUAUGCCUAACACAUGCAAGUCGAACGGAAAUACUAAUUAAGAGAAUCUCACACUAGUGAGAGGUUCUCACGAGUAGUAUUUAGUGGCGGACGGGUGAGUAACACGUUGGAACCUGCCCCGAAGUGGGGAAUAACUGCUCGAAAGAGUAGCUAAUACCCCAUAGUAUCCGGUUUAUCCGGAUUAAAGAUUUAUCGCUUCGGGAGGGGCCUGCGUCUGAUUAGCUAGUUGGUGAGGUAAAAGCUCACCAAGGCGACGAUCAGUAGCUGGUUCGAGAGGAUGACCAGCCACACUGGGACUGAGAUACGGCCCAGACUCCUACGGGAGGCAGCAGUGAGGAAUCUUCCACAAUGGGCGCAAGCCUGAUGGAGCAAUACCGCGUGCAGGAAGACGCUUUUCGGAGUGUAAACUGCUUUUGUCGUCGAAGAUUAUGACUGUAGACGAAGAAUAAGGACCGGCUAACUACGUG